rnacentral:rRNA from 1 species
AUUGAACGCUGGCGGCAUGCUUUACACAUGCAAGUCGAACGGUAACAGGCCGCAAGGUGCUGACGAGUGGCGAACGGGUGAGUAAUGCAUCGGAACGUGCCCAGUCGUGGGGGAUAACGCAGCGAAAGCUGCGCUAAUACCGCAUACGAUCUCUGGAUGAAAGCGGGGGACCGAAAGGCCUCGCGCGAUUGGAGCGGCCGAUGUCAGAUUAGGUAGUUGGUGGGGUAAAGGCCCACCAAGCCGACGAUCUGUAGCUGAUCUGAGAGGACGACCAGCCACACUGGGACUGAGACACGGCCCAGACUCCUACGGGAGGCAGCAGUGGGGAAUUUUGGACAAUGGGCGCAAGCCUGAUCCAGCAAUGCCGCGUGCAGGAAGAAGGCCUUCGGGUUGUAAACUGCUUUUGUACGGAACGAAACGGUCCGGGCUAAUACCCUGGGCUAAUGACGGUACCGUAAGAAUAAGCACCGGCUAACUACGUGCCAGCCGCCGCCGUAAUAC